UACAGAGGUCUCAACCGUUGUUCGGAUUCAUUGGGCGUAAAGGGUGCGUAGGCGGUCGUGCAAGUCGGAUGUGAAAUCUCAGGGCUCAACCCUGAAACUGCAUUCGAUACUGCGCGGCUAGAGUGCUGGAGGGGAGACUGGAAUUUACGGUGUAGCAGUGAAAUGCGUAGAUAUCGUAAGGAAGACCAGUGGCGAAGGCGAGUCCCUGGACAACACCUGACACUGAGGCACGAAAGCUAGGGGAGCAAACAGG
rnacentral:rRNA from 1 species